GCCAGGUGGCUAUUGGGAACGCAAGAUAAGGGUGUUGGAUUACUGAAAACGCUUAAAGCUGCUCUGAGUGUCUCUUUUACAAACGAACCGUGAGGCCGAACCAUGAGGCCGGUGAACAUGGUUCCGAAGGUGUUUUCCUGCAUAGCCCGAUAAGCUGAGCUCCGUCCUUGGCAUCCUUGGUGGGAGGAGAGAACCCACCCUGAAAAUUGUCCUCUGACCACGUGCACAGGGGUGUGCCAUGUACACAGGUG
rnacentral:lncRNA from 1 species